UUUAUGGAGAGUUUGAUCCUGGCUCAGGAUGAACGCUGGCGGCGUGCCUAAUACAUGCAAGUCGAGCGAACGGAUGAGAAGCUUGCUUCUCUAAUGUUAGCGGCGGACGGGUGAGUAACACGUGGAUAACCUACCUAUAAGACUGGGAUAACUUCGGGAAACCGGAGCUAAUACCGGAUAAUAUUUUGAACCGCAUGGUUCAAAAGUGAAAGACGGUCUUGCUGU
rnacentral:rRNA from 1 species